AAAAGUAAAUUAUAAAAAUAGAACAUUUGAUAAAAUAUCUACAAAAAUCAAGUGUAGUAGACAAUAAUAAAACGAUAAAAAUACAUCUUUUUUGCAGGAAAAAAUGAAAUUUUUCGAAUAAUAUUUUUAGCGACCGUAUUUGAUAUCAUAAGAUAGAAAUAUUAUAAUAUAUAAUAUUUAAGAUAUGAAAAAUAACAUUUUUUUUAGGGAUUAUUAGCACUCCACCGGGUACCCUCUUUCGCACUGCUCCCUUCAGAAAUAGGGAUUAUUAGCUUCCAUUUGAACGUCUUCUCCAGCCGACGACCAGGGUCCAUCACCGCCACUGCCCCCUCGUGGCCGUCUCCCCACUCCAACGCCGCUUGUUCCUCCUCCACUGGAUGACGAAACGUUCUGUAAUUUCCAAUCCAUCGGUUAUCUGUUCAAUCCUGCCAUGCCCGUAAUCUCCAAUCUGCCACAUUCUCUUCAACAUUCAAUCCUCAUCCGUCACCUACUCUACCGCCGACGUUCCGAAGGGAUAUUCUCGACAUGUAAUGUAAUGCUUAAUGUCGUGGUACCAUGGUUUUCUGACAAACUCUUGCUCAACGCUCAUGCAAUACACCGGUGCUUCACGCUUUUCAAUUCUUAUAGGCUGCAUGUCCUCGUUGAAAGCCACAUUAAACAUGGAAGAUAGAGUAGCCAAUGCAUCUACUAUUUGAUUACUUUCACGUGGGACAUGUUUGAAUGUAAUUGACUUGAAAGUUUGAGUCAAUUUUUGAAUGUACUUGUUAUAAGGAAUCAAUUUAGAGUCUCUUGUCUCCCAUUUCCCAUUGAGUUGAUGUAUUAGCAAGAGAAAACCCCCAUAAACUUGCAACUUCUUAAUCUUCAUGUCAUAGGCCAUUUGAACUCCCA